rnacentral:tRNA from 1 species
GUAGUUCAGUGGUAGAAUACAACCUUGCCAAGGUUGGGGUCGCGGGUUCGAAUCCCGUCUUCCGCUCCA